CAAAUACUAGUUUAAAGAAAAUUAUUCAUUUACAUUGAAUAGAUUAAUUGUGCAAUCAU
rnacentral:tRNA from 1 species